rnacentral:lncRNA from 1 species
GUUUGGGCUCAAAUACGCUUUCCAAAAACGAACACGCACUGACCUAAGUGGGCUUAUUCAAUGGGAUGACGCAUCGGCUCGACUGCGCCACUUGGGUAAUGGUUGGCUCACCGGCAGGUGGGGGCCACCAGUCGGGUUCAUCUCCCUCCUCCGUUAACGCUUGCGCAAAGAAUAGGGCGAGUCCGGCGACGAUUUGCUGGCACCACGCGACACCAUCCUCAAUGCCCGACCCAUCCACACGCUCAGGGGAACUACCCGCAUCGCAUGGAGGGGAAAUCCAUGGUAGGAGAGCUUCAGGUUGAGCAGGGACUUGGCAAUGGUGGACCGAGCUUCGGUCAUGGAGGAAGCUUUGCUCAUUGUGGCUCCCCGACCAAACUCGAGGGGGAAAUGGGUUCACUGGGUCAUGAGGGUUCUAACAGAGAAGGAGAGAGGCAAGGAGGGGCUCUGUCUUGCUCGAGUUUAGUCGAGAAUGGCGGAGGCCGAAUCUGCCGGCGGUGGAGAAGGAGACGGCCUCGGUGGAAACUGAGGCAAGAGAAAUCUUGAUAUGGCCGCGACG